rnacentral:rRNA from 1 species
UAAUUGAAGAGUUUGAUCAUGGCUCAGAUUGAACGCUGGCGGCAGGCCUAACACAUGCAAGUCGAGCGGUAACAGGGGAAGCUUGCUUCUCGCUGACGAGCGGCGGACGGGUGAGUAAUGUAUGGGGAUCUGCCCGAUAGAGGGGGAUAACUACUGGAAACGGUAGCUAAUACCGCAUAAUCUCUCAGGAGCAAAGCAGGGGAACUUCGGUCCUUGCGCUAUCGGAUGAACCCAUAUGGGAUUAGCUAGUAGGUGAGGUAAUGGCUCACCUAGGCGACGAUCCCUAGCUGGUCUGAGAGGAUGAUCAGCCACACUGGGACUGAGACACGGCCCAGACUCCUACGGGAGGCAGCAGUGGGGAAUAUUGCACAAUGGGCGCAAGC